rnacentral:tRNA from 1 species
GGCCAGGUAGCCCAAUUGGCAGAGGCGCAGCGCUUAGAACGCUGAUUGUGUGGGUUCGACUCCCACCCUGGUCA